AAGGGGUAUAAACUGUCAAUUGUUUGAUAGUUAAGCUUUAAACUGUAAAUCCAUUUGGAUAUACUUUGGACGGAUUCUAAGAGCUUUAGGAAAGCUAAAAAUCGUUCAUAUGAUUAUCUUAGGAAUGGAUUUGGAUAGCCUUAAGAGAAGAUUAUCUGAUAGGGACUUAUCUGUAAUCAUUAAGGAAUCUACAAGUAUAAAUAGACCCCAUGGCAUAGGGAAUUCGACACUUGACCUAAAGUAAGGAACCUCUGGUCGAAAUUCCUUCCCUCUCCUCUCUCCCAAAUCAUCCUCCUUGCUUUGGUGUUUGUAAGCCAUUAGAGGAGUGACAUUUGUGACUCUAGAAGCUCCAAGACCUCAAGAUCAACAAGGAACUCAAAGGUAUGAUUCUAGAUCUGUUUUAAUGUUCUUGUUUAACCUAAUUAGUAAUUAGAAGUCUUGGAUUCAAAGCAUGUUUAUUAGAAAGCCUAGAUCCAAGCAUUAGGGUUUUGCAUGCGCACAUAGGAAAGUUCUUAUGGCUAAAACCCAUCAGUGGUAUCAGAGCCUAGCUUGGUUUUCUGUAAAUUGUUGCUUGAUUAACUGAAACAAACCUGCAAAAUUCGAAUUUUUGGUUUCUGAGUCAUGGACUCGGCGAGUCUCAAAGUGGACUCGGCGAGUAGGCCUGACUCGGCGAGUCCAUUUGUGCACUCGGCGAGUCCAGGCGUCAGGAAUGGCCAGAUUCGGGAUUUCUUUGUGUUUAUCUUAUCUUAACUUACCAUAAACUAAUUAGAUCAACAUUAAUUCGUUUUUCUGAUAAAUAUAACUAUUAUCUUGAUCUAGUUAAAGGUAAUUAUCAACUAAUUAAAUAUUUAAUUUCCUUAUAUGAUAAUUAAUUAAUUAUUUUGAUUAUUUUGGUAAUUAUCUUAAAAAGAAAUCUUGAAUAAAUCAAAUAUAGAUAAUUAGGAUAUUAAUUGUUAAUUGGAAUUAUUUGUUAUUUGAUCCUCCAUGUUUUAAAUGUUUAAAACCUACCCUCAUGUUUUGAAAUUUACUUUUGUGAUUAAAAGUUUUAAUUUAGACAACUUAAAUUUCAAACCCUAGAUUUUAAAAGUUUUAAAAUACAACCCUAUACUAAUAUGAUAUUACUAGAAUAAUAUAUAUAUGUAUAACUAAAUGCUAGUCUUACCGUUAGUAGGCCUCAUUCACGAAGCCGAUCUAUAAGGUGGGUAUAAGGUUGCGGCCUAUAAAAUGGCGCUUAAUGGGUGUACACUCACACCCACCGCUUGCUUGAUUGGUGGAGGGUCGUUAGCCGAACGGGUAGGAUAGGGCAACCUCAUCCUCUCAUUAAAAGUAUAAUAAGAAAUACAAAGUAACUACACAUAUUUUAAAAUUUCCCAAUCCUAGUUACUUUAGGAAAAGUGAAUUGAUGCAAUCCCAUGAAAUUACACUUUGCACCUUGCUAAGAUGUUAGUGGAGCGUGUGUGGUUUACCGGCACACUAAUUGGUUCUAAGCGAAGGUGGCAAAGGGUGAUUCAUUGUUUAUCAUAGUUCGAUGGAGCGUGUGUGGUUUACCGGCACAUCGAAUAGGUGAUUGUUACAAUGAAGGCACCAUGUGAAUUUGCAUGGUAAUUCACACCCGCUUUGUGAUCCUCGGCAUCCCAGUCACAAACAAGAGGGGCAUAUCGAGAUUUAAACAUGCCAUUGAAUAGUUUCAAUGAAUCUCAUCCGAACCUAGGAAUUCUCAAAAACACUUAGGACUAAUAGUUUAAGUUUUGUGAUGGAGAAUUAGUGAAUCGUCAUUCACUUACCUUCAAUUUAUUUGCAUGUUAGAUUACGGCAUCCCUUUUCUAGUAUGUAAAUGUUAUUGUUGGAUCCUAGCCCUAAUUUUCUUAUUGGGUGAUAAUUAGGGAUUCUUAUUCUAAUCUAUCUUUGUCCUUUUCUAAUUGUAGAUGUCGAACGCAAACAACGCUGCUGCUAGUUCUUUCACGUUGAUGAGCCUUUGCCAAAAGGUCACCUUCGAUGGAACGAACUUUAGCGAAUGGAUAAGAUACAUUCGCACCAUUGCUCGCUAUGAGGAUAAGGAGUAUGUCCUCGAUGAGAAGCUCGAGAAAAUCAACCCCGAAAUCGCUACUCCCGCCGAAAUCACCGCUUUUGAGACUCAUGAGCGAGAUGCAACGAAGGUACAUUGCAUCAUGAUCGCCACCAUGAACUCCGAAUUCCAAAAGUCCUACGAGGACAUGUACCCGUACGAGAUGCACCAAGACUUAUUGGAGAGGUACCACCAAAACGCGAGACAAGAGAGGUACGAGAUUUUCACUAACAUGAUUUCCGCGAAGAUGGGUCAUGGAGAAUCUCUUACCGUGCACUUGCAAAAGAUGCAAAGGUAUGUCGACCGCCUUCGCAAGUUAAAUGUUGACUUCGGUGAGGAUUUGGCGAUCGACAUGGUGCUUCACUCUUUGCCUCCGAUGUACAAUCAAUUUAGGAUGACCUACCACAUGAACAAAGAAGAGGUCACCCUAAGCAAGCUCCAAGGUCUCUUGAGGGUUGCUGAGAGCAACUUCAAAGACAAGUCUGUUGCACCUACUCCCAAUCCGCCCGCUGCUCCUGUCUUGGCUAUUGGACAAGGGAAGGGAAAGAAGAGGAAAGCUUCAUCGAAGAACUAUCGCAAGGUGAAAGCCCGAGAUGGUGCCUCUUCUAGUGGGACCAAAGUUGAUCCCGCUAAGCCCUGCUCUAACCCGAAGGAGGCAGAGUGCCACCACUGCCACAAGAUAGGACAUUGGAAGAGAAGCUGCCCGGAUUACCUGCAAGCAAUCAAAGAAGGAAAGAUCAAGCCAUCUUUCGCAGGUAUAUAUACAAUCAAAUCUAACGAUUCUAAUCAUGCUAUUUCUUGGGUUCUUGAUACCGGUUGUGGUUAUCACAUUUGUUCUAAUGUGCAGGGACUAAGAAGAAGUAGGGAUGUGGAGCAAGGAAGGAUCAAUCUAAUCAUGGGGAACAGAAGAUCGUCGCCUGUGACCAAGAUUGGAGUGUAUUCCUUAGUGCUUAGGAAUAGUUUAGUUUUAGAUUUGAACAAUUGUUGCUAUUCGCCAGAAAUGGCAAGAAACAUCAUUUCAUUUCAUGGUUUAUAUAGACAAGGAUUUAGAUUUUCUUUUAAUAAUGAGAAUGGUUCUAUUUUGGCUUAUCUAAAUGGUGUCUUUUACUUUGAAGCUAUACCAUGUAAUGGAAUAUAUGAAACCGUUAUGAUUGUUGAUAACUUAGGAAAUGAUGUUUUGAAUAUUGAUUCUUCCACUAGUAUGGAUAAAGCAUCCUUGUGGCAUUGUCGUCUUGGACAUGUCAACAAGAAACGCAUAGCCCAACUCCAAAAGGAUGGAGUGUUGGAGUCAUUCGACCUUAGGGAAGAUGACACAUGCGAGUCUUGUUUGCUUGGAAAGAUGACUAAGUCACCCUUCACGAGUACAUGUGAAAGGGGCGAGGGUCUAUUGGACCUAAUACAUACCGAUGUAUGUGGACCGUUUAGAUCAACCACGAAGGAUGGGAACCGCUUCUAUGUGACUUUUACCGAUGACUAUAGUAGAUAUGGGUAUAUCUACUUAAUCAAGCAAAAGUCAGACACCUUUGAAAAGUUCAAAGAGUUCAAGAAUGAAGUGGAGAAUCAAUUGGGCAGGAAAAUCAAGAUGCUUCGAUCCGAUCGAGGAGGAGAGUACCUAAGUCUUGAAUUCCACGAUUAUCUCAAGGAGUGUGGAAUAGUUUCACAAUUGACGCCUCCUAGGACACCGCAGUUGAAUGGUGUGGCAGAAAGGCGUAAUCGAACCUUAUUGGAUAUGGUUCGCUCUAUGAUGAGUCGUGCUUCACUACCAAUCUCUUUUUGGGGGUAUGCCUUAGAGACUGCCGCCCAUAUCCUUAACCGAGUCCCUACUAAGAAGGUUGCCAAAACACCUCACGAGAUGUGGACAGGGAAAGCUCCCUCGUUGGCACAUAUCAAGGUUUGGGGUUGCGAGGCUUUCGUAAGACGAGAUACUCACGACAAGCUUGAACCUCGAAGUGAGCGAUGUAUUUUCAUCGGCUACCCGCAGACAUCCUUUGGAUAUCUCUUCUAUAGACCGAAGGACAAUGUUGUCUUCGUUGCGAGGAGAGGAGUUUUCCGAGAGCGAGAACUCAUAAGCCAAGGAGACAGUGGGAGGCAAAUCGAACUUGAAGAGAUUCAAGAGUCGAUAGAUGAAGGAACCUCUACCGCUGGCACUCAACCCGAGGAGGAAACUCCGGUUGAACCGAUUGACGAAUCCUUACCUCUUAGACGUUCCGAUAGAGUUAGAGUUCAUCCCCAGUUUUAUGGCUUUCAUAUUACUACCGAAGGGGACACGUAUAUUAGUGAUGGUACACUAGUAAAUCUUGAUGAACCUAAUAGCUAUAAGGAAGCCAUGGCAGGCCCGGAGUCUGCAAAAUGGAAAGAGGCAAUGGAUAGCGAGAUCCAAUCCAUGUAUGAUAACCAAGUUUGGAAUUUGGUUGAUUAUGUGCCCGGACGUAAGACCGUUGGGUGCAAAUGGAUCUUCAAGAAGAAGACCGACGUGGAUGGAAACGUACACACAUAUAAAGCGCGAUUGGUUGCGAAGGGCUUUACUCAAACUCCCGGAGUUGACUAUGAUGAGACCUUCUCACCAGUUGCGAAGAUUAAAUCUAUUAGAGUGAUGCUAGCUAUUGCCGCAUUUCAUGAUUAUGAGAUUUGGCAAAUGGAUGUCAAGACCGCUUUCCUUAACGGAAAGUUGGCUGAGGAUGUUUACAUGGCUCAGCCAGAGGGGUUUGUGGAUCCGAAGCAUCCGGAUAGAGUGUGUAAGCUUGAGAAGUCCAUUUAUGGACUUAAGCAAGCGUCUCGCAGAUGGAAUCUUUGCUUCGAUGAGAAAGUCAAAGAGUUUGGAUUUGUACGAAGCGAAGACGAAUCUUGUGUAUAUGUCAAAGCCAGUGGGAGUAUAGUAAGCUUCCUCGUUCUAUAUGUCGAUGACAUAUUACUCAUAGGAAACGACAUCCCGACUCUGCAGGAGGUUAAGUCCUGGCUCGGGAAGUGCUUCGCUAUGAAGGACCUCGGAGAGGCUUCUUACAUUUUGGGAAUAAGGAUAGUAAGAGAAAGAAGUAAGAGACUAAUUGGACUUAGUCAGAAUACUUACUUAGAGAAGGUACUAAAACGUUUUAGUAUGGAAAACUCAAAGAAGGGAGAACUACCGAUACAAAGUAAUGCCAAAUUGAGUAAGACUCAAAGUCCGAGUACCGAAGCUGAGAUAGCAGAAAUGAGCCGAGUACCAUACGCUUCCGCAGUUGGCUCAAUCAUGUACGCUAUGACUUGUACUCGCCCUGAUGUAGCCUUCGCUUUGAGCAUGGUUAGCAGAUAUCAAGGGAAUCCUGGCAAAGCACAUUGGAUUGCGGUGAAGAAUAUCCUUAAGUACCUUCGGAGGACGAAGGAAUGGUUCUUAGUCCUCGGAGGGAGUGAUGACUUGAAGGUGCGAGGGUAUAGUGACGCCAGUUUUCAGACCGACAGGGACAACUACCGUUCGCAGUCGGGCUGGGUCUUUACCCUAAAUGGAGGAGCAGUGACAUGGAAGAGUUCCAAGCAGGAAACCGUAGCUGAUUCAACGUGCGAAUCAGAGUACAUUGCAGCGAGCGAAGCGUCGAAGGAGGCAAUAUGGCUAAAGAACUUCAUCGGUGAUCUUGGAGUUGUACCUGCCAUAAAGGAGCCCAUGGAGAUUUUCUGUGAUAACGAAGGAGCGGUUGCCUUGACCAAGGAACCGAGGGAUCAUGGUAGAUCAAGACAUAUCGACAGAAAAUAUCACUUCAUUAGACAUCGUGUAGAAGAAGGACAACUCGUAGUGAAGAGGAUAUCAUCAGAAGAUAACCCAGCAGAUCCGCUUACGAAGGGACUGAGUAGGGUUAAGCACUUGCAGCAUGCUAGGAGUAUUGGGCUGAAGGAUGAUAUUAGCAUAGAUUAGAUAGUAUUAGAAACGUGUAAUAGAUAAAUGUAAUUAACAUUUGAUGAUUAAAUAAAGGAGUUUUAUUUAUGAGUAAUGUUACUAUCUUAUGUUAAUUGUUUAGCUAUUGUUUCACUUUGCAUGUUUUGACUUCCAGAAUAAUUGAGUUUAUUAGGAAUAAUCGAAUUGUUCAAAUGGUCCACAAUCGUUCAUAUGUUGGGAGUAGAUAUGAAUGAAGAUUGUCAUGAAUUGGUGUGUAGAAUGUCUAAAUGGUGUUAGACAUAGCAAAGGAUUGCUGCAACGUUCAUGAGUGCUUAUGAACUAGUUUUGAGCAUUGGAAUAAACCCGCGCUUGCUGGAAUCACCUUAUGGAAUACGAUAUAAAAGGUGAUCGCAAGACGAUAAUAUCAUAUAGUCUUAAAACCUAGAUAUAUGGUUUAUUAUUUGUUAAUUGAUUGUACAUUGAUAAUACGAAAACGCAUCAGUAACUUGGUGUUAUAAAACGUAUUGUUGUGUAUAGUUGGUAAAUGAAUAAGUAAAUGCAUAUAAGUCGAAGUUUAUCUGUAACUUUUAUCUAAGAAGGUAAAAGCGAUAUCUCGGCCGCUCGAUGAUUUGAUUUGACUUAUGUGCCGGGCCCGGUCAGAACUGAAUUGAUGUGUUCGAUUAAGUUCUAUGUCAAAUAAAUCAGAGAUCGAGAAACCUAAAUGCUUGACUAACCAUUCCAUAGGAUUGUCAGCAUGAUAUCUAACAGAGGACUGUACGUUCCCUUAUCUAAAGGACAAGAUUGAUUAGAUCAGAGUUGACAGCGUCUUUGAGAGCUACGAUUGCAAACCGAAUUGUACUUGUAUAGUUACUAGACUUAUCCAAGUGGGAGACUGUUGGAAUAGUGUCUAAGGCUGUAACUAUAUUAGGCAAGUAUUUGAUCCGGUUGUGCAUGGUCCUUUUGGGUUGCCUUCACCAUAGCAACUUGAUAGGAUGAUUUAUUAAGAGAGAAUAAAUAUUAUUAAUAUAUUAUGGGAAUAAUAUAAUGAAUAAUAUAUUUGUUAUUUGAUUAAUAUAAGUCAUAGAAUUAAUUAGAAUUAAUUUGGUGACUUAAAGAGAUUAAUUAAAUAAAGGGGUAUAAACUGUCAAUUGUUUGAUAGUUAAGCUUUAGACUGUAAAUCCAUUUGGAUAUGCUAUGGACGAAUUCUAAGAGGAUUAGGAUAGCUAAAAUCGUCCAUUAGAGUUAUCUAGGAAUGGAUUUGGAUAGCCUUAAGAGAAGAUUAUCUGAUAGGGACUUAUCUGUAAUCCUUAAGGAGUCUACAAGUAUAAAUAGACCCCAUGGCAUAGGGAAUUCGACACUUCUCAAAAAGCAAGAGAACUCUGGUCGAAUUCCUCCCCUCUCCUCUCUCCCAAAUCAUCCUCCUUGCUUUGGUGUUUGUAAGCCAUUAGAGGAGUGACAUUUGUGACUCUAGAAGCUCCAAGACCUCAAGAUCAACAAGGAACUCAAAGGUAUGAUUCUAGAUCUGUUUUAAUGUUCUUGUUUAACCUAAUUAGUAAUUAGAAGUCUUGGAUUCAAUGCAUGUUUAUUAGAAAGCCUAGAUCCAAGCAUUAGGGUUUUGCAUGCGCACAUAGGAAAGUUCUUAUGGCUAAAACCCAUCACUUUUUACCUCCAAGUGAAGGAUAACACUGAAGAAUAUCUGCAUCCAAAAGCCUUAUCUUGAUUUAAGCCAAGAUGCUCUUAACAUCCCCUCUCAAAUUGGCACAAGAAAACCCAAAUUAGCCUCUACCUUUCACAAUGGAUGGAACUGAUCUAG
rnacentral:lncRNA from 1 species